rnacentral:snRNA from 1 species
GUGCUCGCUUCGGCAGUACAUAUACUAAAAUUGGAACAAUACAGAGAAAAUUAGCAUGGCCCUGCACAAGGAUUACAUGCAAAUUUGUGAAGUGAUCCAUAUUUUU